CCUACGGGGGGCAGCAGUGGGGAAUAUUGGACAAUGGGCGAAAGCCUGAUCCAGCCAUGCCGCGUGUGUGAAGAAGGCCUUCGGGUUGUAAAGCACUUUCAGUGGGGAAGAAAGCCUUGGGGCUAAUACCCUCGAGGAAGGACAUCACCCACAGAAGAAGCACCGGCUAACUCCGUGGCCAGCAGCCGCGGUAAUACGGAGGGUGCGAGCGUUAAUCGGAAUUACUGGGCGUAAAGCGCGCGUAGGCGGUCUGAUAAGCCGGUUGUGAAAGCCCCGGGCUCAACCUGGGAACGGCAUCCGGAACUGUCAGGCUAGAGUGCAGGAGAGGAAGGUAGAAUUCCCGGUGUAGCGGUGAAAUGCGUAGAGAUCGGGAGGAAUACCAGUGGCGAAGGCGGCCUUCUGGACUGACACUGACGCUGAGGUGCGAAAGCGUGGGUAGCAAACAGGAUUAGAUACCCUGGUAGUC
rnacentral:rRNA from 1 species